CCAGACUCCUACGGGAGGCAGCAGUGAGGAAUAUUGGUCAAUGGACGCAAGUCUGAACCAGCCAUGCCGCGUGCAGGAUGACGGCUCUAUGAGUUGUAAACUGCUUUUGUACGAGGGUAAACCCCGAUACGUGUAUCGGGUUGAAAGUAUCGUACGAAUAAGGAUCGGCUAACUCCGUGCCAGCAGCCGCGGUAAUACGGAGGAUCCGAGCGUUAUCCGGAUUUAUUGGGUUUAAAGGGUGCGUAGGCGGGCUGUUAAGUCCGCGGUAAAAUGUGGGGGCUCAACCCCGGCCUGCCGUUGAAACUGGCGGCCUCGAGUGGGCGAGAAGUAUGCGGAAUGCGUGGUGUAGCGGUGAAAUGCAUAGAUAUCACGCAGAACUCCGAUUGCGAAGGCAGCGUACCGGCGCCCAACUGACGCUGAAGCACGAAGGCGUGGGUAUCGAACAGGAUUAGAUACCCUUGUA
rnacentral:rRNA from 1 species